AACGCACCUUGCGCUCCCUGGUAUUCCGGGGAGCAUGCCCGUUUCAGUACCAUUAAAUUCUCACAAGCUCUCUUUGCUUUGUAAUGAAGUAAUUUGAGCAGGUGGAUAUGGGCAGCUUUUGCAUGACACUUUCGGGUGUGUGUUGCAAAUCGCCUGGAAUUCAUUUGCGUGCUGCAGUUCGGCUCUUUUGCCGGUCAAUCAAGUGCAACAGAUUUUUCUAUUCGCUUGACCACGGUAAUGUGUAGCAGUGCUGCUCGGUAGGCAGAAUACAAUUAUACCAGCUGUAGUUCUUUUGGAGCUGCAUCUGUUUAACUUGGUCUGAAAUCGGGUAAGAAAACCCGCUGAACUUAA
rnacentral:misc_RNA from 1 species